rnacentral:rRNA from 1 species
CUACGGAGGGUGCGAGCGUUAAUCGGAAUUACUGGGCGUAAAGGGUGCGUAGGCGGCUUGAUAAGUCGGAUGUGAAAGCCCCGGGCUUAACCUGGGAAUUGCAUUCGAUACUGUCAGGCUAGAGUAUGUCAGAGGUUGGCGGAAUUCCUGGUGUAGCGGUGAAAUGCGUAGAUAUCAGGAGGAACACCAGUGGCGAAGGCGGCUAACUGGGGCAAUACUGACGCUGAGGCACGAAAGCGUGGGGAGCAAACAGGAUUAGAAACCCGAGUAGUCC